GGGCCUAUAGCUCAGUUGGUUAGAGCGCCACACUGAUAAUGUGGAGGUCGAUGGUUCGAGUCCAUCUAGGCCCAC
rnacentral:tRNA from 1 species